UUGAUGAAUAUUUCAUUAAGAUGUAGUUUAGUUUAAAGUUAGCACCUUUUUGUACCAAAUCUUGAUUCUUAUGAGUAUGGAGUACUCCAUGAUGUUUGAGUUGUCAUUUCAGAUGUUAUAGGGUGUGUUAAGUCAUAAAAAUAUGAUCUUGGACAUUAGUUCCUUCACAUGCGUGAUCUAGAUUGUCUUAUUGGGUCAAGAGACUAGGGUCUUUUUAGCCAUGAGAAACCAUAAAGUUGGAAACUUUAUGGUUCUGAACACUUGUUAGGGUCUUGAUUUAGUUUUUGGACGUAAGUCUUAAGGAUUUAGCAUUUAAUGGAUUGUGUGGGUGGCAGCCACGAAAGUUGGGAAUAACAACGGGUAGACUGCACGUUCGGGGUCAGCCCUUUGAGAUUUGGUCAAGCAAGUAGUAUUACCCAUUACUAGUAUUUUAAGUUAUUAAAAAUUCUCGUUCGUACUUUUGGAAGUAGGUAGUGAUUUAAGAUUGUAAUGAAGCAUUGGUAGAUUGUCCAUGGUGAUGCAUAAAGAAAAUUUUUGAACAAAUGCUCAUGAGUACUUUAAAUGAAGAUUUUAAGGUAUUGGAUUAACCCACACUUAGAGAUUACUUCAUGGAUUCUAUUACAAGUAAUUCUAAGAUGGUAAUAUCAUAUAUCCUUCAAAUGGAGAUGCUUGGGAUUCUCUCCUACAAUCUUUUUUUGUUUUGGUUUCCCCCAAACAUUGUUCGUAAAUGGCAAUCAUAAAGGGUUUGACUAGAUAUGGCAUAAGCAAUAGGCAAAAUCUUUAUAGUCGAAGUUUGUUUGUUCGCUUUUCCCUCAAAAACUAAAAAUAGAUAUCAUUGUUCCCCUCGAUGAUUUGUUGUUGACAUUAAAAUACAUGGUCGUGCUCAGACUGAAUCGAUGGAUCAAUUAUGCAGUUUUCUUUUGAUUGAUAGAAGUUAGUAUCGGGAAACAAAAUCUUGAACAUUUGAGAUCGAAUAUAUAAAUGUCUCAUUUUCAUAUACAUAUCUUGAAGAAUAAAGGAACAUUUGAUUAGUUAUCUAAGGGAUAUAUCACAAUCAUGUGUUUUGAGUAUGGAAAAUACAUUUGACUAGAUCCUCUCUACUCAUUACUAUUAAAUAUUAGACCAUAUAGUCUUGGUGACUUGUGCAAGUUGAGGUCUUAGAAAAUGGUGCCUAGAUUUACAACACAGUGACAACAAUUAGUACAAGCGGAUUGAUAUGUAAGUUAUUAGUACAUAAUGUUAUAAGAUGCAAGUUUGGGUAUACAGAUAACCGUUAUUACCCUUUGAGGGAUGAAUCACCUGAUAAUAAAAAGAAAAUAUAAAAAGACAAGUUUACUUUUAUGUAAAACCCAUUAAAAAGUUGUUAUAAACAUGUAGUAGUUGUAAUAUAUCUUAAAAACUAUGCAUAAAAUGAAAAUAUAAAAAAAGAAAUUGAAUUAGUAAAAAAAAUCAAUUUCUUGNAAAUCAAUUUCUUAAACAAAUUUCUUAGAAAACCAGUUUCUUAAAAAUGUAAAAACAAACUUGUAGAAACAAGUUGUGGCAUAUUUGUAAACAAAGUUACGGCCAAAGUAAUAUUGAAAAUAAAAACAUUGGCAAUCUUGUAAAGAAAAGGUAUCCUCUAAACAAACAAACCUGCAAUAAUGAGUCAUUGUGACAAAGAAGAAAUAAAACAUUGGCUUUUCUUACUUCUACAAAUAAUAAAAUGUUAACAUGUAACUUUUAUAUAUUUAAAAUAUUUGGCAACCCAUUUAGUUUUGGUAAUAGCCAUUUAUUUUGUUUUGCAACCAUAUGAUUGCAAACAUCGCACACGCACAUAGAGGCUCACACGCACACAGUCAGAUUCAAUUCGGGAUGGAGGGAACAACAAGAAAUAAUGAUAACUGGAUUCUAUAACAAACGACAAACCUUCAAAAUCCUUAAUUCAUAGCUAUCAUUUGUAGUUUAAUACUCAUGGAUUUUAGUAAUUGCUGCUCUAGAAAUGCAUUUAGAAAAUUUCAUUAAACCCAAUCACUUACUAAGAAACACGUUGUGUUAAAGCUAAUAAUAUGCGUGAAGCAUAAAUCAUUGAGAAAGAUUGCUAACCAACUGCAACUGAAUAUGCUAAUGUACAUAAAAGAUCACAUGAUGAAACGUUUACCAGCAAUAGCAAUGUGUUAGAUCUACUAUUUUGGUGUCAAGUAGCCCUUGGAGUUCCCCCAAACACUUCAGUAGGAAAUCAUUAAUAAAGCAUCCCAAUGAAGUGUUCGGAGGAUCUCUGAGGGACACUUGGCUUUUCCUACAUCUGUAUUUGCUUGAAGUUGAUUGCUUUGUUUAGAAAAUAAACGUGCCAGAAUUACUUGGUAUAUAUAGAGGGAGAGGGAGUAGAGGUUAUUUUCUGAUCGAUGAACAUGGAUACAUCAGCAGCAUGAACAUGGUUGCCAUCGUGUCUCUAUUAGGAGAUAUAUUUUCCCAUAAUCCCAAUUUUCACAUAAAGGGAAAUAUAUGAGAGUGACGAGUUAUGCUGAGGACCAGGUGAACAUGGGUAUCAUAUUCUCAUUUGAUCAUCUAUCCCAUAUACAUGACCACAUUCAAUCUCUGACCUACAAUAUAUAACAUAUUAGCAUAAGAUUUGAUAAUGGGAAAGAGAUGUAUAUUGAUUAUUCAUUCAAAACUAGAAUUGAAUCGAAUAUACCAUGACUGCAAUAUCAUGUAAAGAAAUGAUGCAUGCUGAUUUAUAUAUAAGGUUACAGACACGGCAAGAGGCAGGACAUGCAAAAUUCUGCUCUAAUUGAACUUUUUGUGAAAGAUUUCCUAUUGCAGGUCCACUAGUCUGAUUCUCUUCUUACUCUCAUAAGCUCCCUCGAUUAUAACCCCACUAUCAUUUUCAAGUUUCAACCAUUACCCUCCAAUUAUGUUCAAAUGUGUAUAAACUAUAAAAGGCGUUGAAAGAUUCUCACAUCCACAUAAUCACCCUACACCUAUCACCAUAUAUUUGGAGACUGCAUCUCAUUGUGCACCUGCUUGUAAUUUUGUUUUCUUCUGAUUUUCAUUCGUAUGUAUUCUGCCCCCUGUAAUUUACCAGCUAGCUUUCAAUCUUUUUGUUUUUAAAAAUCUGCGGUUCUAGAAAAAAGUUGUAGAGAGAAUGAAGAGCAACUUACCAGGUAAAUAAAGAUCCAGUUGAAAAAAAUUGAUUUAUCAAUCCCCCUCUAUUUUUUUUUUCAAUUGAUAAAUAUAGUUACUGUUGGUGAUAAUGAAGAGCAUUGACGAUGGAGUAGACUUUGAAUGAUAUGGGAAAGGAAGCAGCAACCAUUUGAUCAAGGGGAGGUUUUCCGAUUGCGUUGGAGCAACGAUUUCUGUUUACAUAAGUUGAAUAAAAAUAAACUAGUUAACGAUUUAUUUUAGGUUUAAAACACAAACAGGUAAUAAGCCGAUUUAAAUGAAAGAAAAUUCACAAAAAAUAACGACUAUAAAGAACGAUUAGACAAAGAAUUAAAAACACCGUUUCUUAAAUUUUUUUAUUUAAAAUCAUUUUUUUUAAAUAAUGUGAAACUAUAUUUCAAAAAUAUGGUGCAAAUUUGUAAAAACAAAUCCGAAGCUAAUUCAUAAUUUUUUUUUUAAAUCCGGUGACGAACUCGCUAUAGCCCAUCAGAUGGUUUAUGUGAGGACGAACUCAUGAAGUCAAGGUGGAUAGAUGAUGAGGGUUGGUUUAGGGUACGACAAAAUACAAUGAAUUUGAAGCCAACAUCGGGAAGGGUCAUUGAAACUUAAUCAUCAGCAAGUAAGUUCUCAUGUUCUCGUUCAGCCUACGCUAGAAUAAAAUGAAUUCCAGGAAAAAUUGAGAUGAUAAGAACAUCAUCCUCGUCAUUACAGCCAGAUAGAUCGAUUGAGAGGGAGGUAAAAGGUAGGAGAUGGCGAUUUCCAUCUACUAACACCUCAUAGAUUGAUGUUUAAGCUAACUUUAUUCAAAUAGUGCGUGGAGGAAUCUAAUGUUUAAUUUUAAGGUAUGAGUUAUUCCCAUUUGUAUUGAACUUAGGUUUGAAGCGUUUAUUGGAAAUAAAAAUCCGUUUCGUGUUCAUUUUAGGGACAGGAUUUUCUUUUUAACCAUUUGUAGAUAAUUUAUGUGGUUGCAAGCUCCGAUCUAUCACCCACUUGAUAGAUUUGGUGUGUUUGGGUGAAAAACAUAAUUAUGACCUAUGUUUCCAAUUGGGGGUUACGUGUGUUGGAUUGCCACUUCAGAUGGCGAGAGCAAGCGAACGAUUCAGAUGCUCAAAGAUUCGCUUUGGUCUUAUGUAUUAGAUUUUGGAGGGAGUUGGAAUACUUACCUUCCACUGGCUGAGUUCUCCUACAAAAGCAGUUAUCAUGCCGGUACUCACCGGCCAUCGUUUAAGAUGUUAUAUGGAAGGAGGUGCAAUACCCGGUUUGCACGGGAGAGGUCGGGCAUCGGGUCAUGGGUGUACUGAGGUGGUACUCAAGACCAUUGAAUUGAUUCCGUAGGUGCACGACAUUUUGCAGGUCCCCUAAAGCCGAUAGGAGAGUUAUGCAGAUCGGGGACGUUCGGACCUUGUGUUUCAGGAGGGGGAUUUGGUGCUUUUAAAGAUGUCACCUUGGAAAUAUGUGAUCCGAUUUCAAAAGUCGGGAAGCUGGCAGCAGAUUUAUUGGUCCCUUCAGGAUUUCUUCCCUGGUGGGAAAUGUUGAACACCAUCUGGAUUUUCCUGAUGACUCAGCCGGAUGUACAAAACCUUCCAUGUGUCUCAAGUUCGGAAGUGUGUCGUCAAUUAGCUCGAAGUUGUUCAUUUGGAUUACAUUCAGGUUGAUGAUCGUCUAAAUUAUGUGAAGAGAUCGGUGACGAUCUUGGAUUGGAAGACGAACACUCUUUGCAACAUAGGAGUAUCACUACACAAGGUCCAGUGGCAUCAUCGGAAGGAUUUCGAAUGGAAGUGGGAGCCUGAGGCGGCAAUGCGAGAGCACUACCUUAAUUUAUUUGCAACAACAGACUUUGUGGACGAAGUCUAGUUCAAGUGGGGGAGAGUUGUAACAUUUUUAUUUGCAAGUAUUUUAAAAUUUUACACUUGAUUUGAGUUUGGUUUUAAAAUUUUGUCCCAAGCGGUAUUUUCGUAAUUUUUGCGUAGGAGACUCGUACGUUGGGCGUACAUGGCGAGGGUGCAAACCCUAAAUUUUAUGGUUUGGACCCUAUUUAAGCAUCAUUAUAGACCACACCCUCAUUUAUCUUCAGCCUCCAUCCCUAUCUCGAAACCCUAAAGUAAGUGAGUGAGUUUUGAAGCGUGAUGAGCCUUUGUAGUGCCAUUCUAGUGCUCUUAGUGCUGAAUUAGGAACCUAGAAGUUGUCGUGUUUCACUCAAGGCUUUGGAUCCUAGAACUACUCUGUCUUGUUCAUCUUCUGGAGGUAUAAAGCUACAACUUGAUGAUUACCCUAUCUCGAAACCCUAAAGUAAGUGAGUGAGUUUUGAAGCGUGAUGAGCCUUUGUAGUGCCAUUCUAGUGCUCUUAGUGCUGAAUUAGGAACCUAGAAGUUGUUGUGUUUCACUCAAGGCUUUGGAUCCUACAACUACUAUGUCUUGUUCAUCUUCUGGAGGUAUAAAGCUACGACUUGAUGAAUAUUUCAUUAAGAUGUAGUUUAGUUUAAUGUUAGCACCUUUUUGUACCAAAUAUUGAUUCUUAUGAGUAUGGAGUACUCCAAGAUGUUUGAGUUGUCAUUUCAGAUGUUAUAGGGUGUGUUAAGUCAUAAAAAUAUGAUCUUGGACAUUAGCUCCUUCACAUGCAUGAUCUAGAUUGUCUUAAUGGGUCAAGAGACUAGGGUCUUUUUAGCCAUGAAAACCCAUAAAGUUGGAAACUUUAUGGUUCUGAACACUUGUUAGGGUCUAGAUCUAGAUUUUGGACGUAAGUGCUUAAGGAUUUAGCACUUAAUGGAUUGGGUAGGUGGCAACCACGAACGUUGGGCAUAGCAACGGGUAGACUGUACGAUCAGGGUCAGCCCUUCGACAUUUUCUCAAGCAAGUAGUAUUACCGAUUUCUAGAUUAUUAAGUUAUUCAAAAUUCUCGAUCGUGCUUUUGGAAGUAAGUAGUGAUUUAAGAUUAUAAUGGAGCAUUGAUAGAUUGUCCAUGGUGAUGCAUAAAGAAAAUUUUGGAAUAAAUGCUCAUGAGUACUUUAAAUGGAGAUUUUAAGGUAUUGGAGUAACCCACACUUAGAGAUUACUUCAUGGAUUCUAUUACAAGUAAUUCUAAGAUGGUAAUAUCAUAUAUACGUCAAACGGAGAUGCUUGGGAUUCUCUCCUACAAUCUGUUUUGUUUUGGUUUCCCCCAAACAUUGUUCGUAAAUGGCAAUUAUAAAGGGUUUGAGUAGAUAUGACAUGCACAAUAGGCAGAAUCUUUUAAGUCGAAGUUUAUUUGUUCGCUUCUCCCUCAAAAAAUAAAAACAGAUAUCAUUGUUCCCAUCGAUGAUUUGAUUUUGACAUUAAAAUACAUGGUCGUGCUCAUACUAAAUUGAUGGAUAAAUUAUGCAGUUUUCUUUUGAUUGAUACAAAUUAGUAUCGGGAAACAAAAUCUUGAACAUUUGAGAUUGAAUGUAUCAAUGUCUCAUUUUCAUAUACAUAUCUCGAAGAACAAAGGAACAUUUGAUUACAUAUCUAAGGGAUAUAUCACACUUAUAUGUUUUGAUUAUGACAAAUACAUUUGACUAGAUCCUCUCUACUCAUUACUAUUAAAUAAUAGACCAUAUAGUCUUCGUGACUUGUGCAAGUUGAGGU
rnacentral:lncRNA from 1 species